rnacentral:lncRNA from 1 species
UAUGAGUAAUUUGAAAAAAAAAUGGACAAAUUUAUAGAACAUUUAUAUAAAACAGAAAUGACAAUUAAUUGAUAAAAAAAACAGCUUGUGUUUAUCUUUUAAAACAAAAAAGUUAUGUAUUUCUAUCUAAAGGAAAAAUAUGUCAACAAAUCUGAAUUUUGAGGAUAUAUUCAACUUCAUUUUACUCAAAAAGUAGCACAUGAAUGUAUAUUUUUUAUUACAUAUUUGAUUUAAUCAGGUAAAAAAUGGCUUAUAUGGAAAUUUUCAACAAAAUUUCAAUACAGGAUUAUGACCUUAAUAGUUGGGUUUUGUUUCACUGCAUUUCAUGAAUAUAACUCAAUUCAUUAAAUCAUUACAUUGUCGCAAUAUAUUGUUGUAUAAUAAUAAUAGUCUUGUAUGAUUUUUAAUUUUAGUUUCUUGUGUAUAAUUCGGAGUUUAGUAUGACGUCCAUUAUCACUGAAAUAGUAUACAUAUUUUAAAGGGGCCAGCUGAAGGACGCCUCCGGGUGCGGGAGUUUCUCGCUACAUUGGAGACCCAUUGGUGGACUUCGGCUGUUGUCUGCUCUAUGGUCGGGUUGUUGUCGCUUUGACACAUUCCCCAUUUUCUUUCUCAAUUUUAUUGUAGUAGAUUUAUGAAUUAUCAUGUCAGAACGCCCAAUCAAAUGAUUCAUUUCAAAGUUAUUCAAGAGUGUUCUAAUUUGCUAUGAGCUUAGUUAUUACAAUUUUAUAUUUUUUUGUUGGAAUAUUUUAAAAACAAAAAUAUUAGGGUAUAUUUUUAAAUGCUGGUUGAUUGGCAUUUAUUGGUUAUGCUCCACCAUUGUUAAUACAGUUUUGUUAGCUAUUUGACGCAUGUAUAAUAUUGUCAAUUUUACAAUUUAUUUUAGAGUUUAAUAAAGAGAAAGGAUUGAGAUUUUAUCUGUGUAUCCAUGAUUUUUUAAUUGAAUAAAAAAAAAUAAACAGU